rnacentral:rRNA from 1 species
ACGCUCGACACCUACGGAAGGCAGCAGUGGGGGAUAUUGCACAAUGGGGGAAACCCUGAUGCAGCAACGCCGCGUGAAGGAUGAAGGUUUUCGGAUUGUAAACUUCUGUUCUUAGUGACGAUAAUGACGGUAGCUAAGAAGAAAGCUCCGGCUAACUACGUGCCGGCAGCCGCGGUAAUCUGAGCGGGCUGGCAAGGC